CCUACGGGAGGCAGUAGUGGGGAAUAUUGGACAAUGGGCGAAAGCCUGAUCCAGCCAUGCCGCGUGUGUGAAGAAGGUCUUCGGAUUGUAAAGCACUUUAAGUUGGGAGGAAGGGCAGUAAGCUAAUACCUUGCUGUUUUGACGUUACCGACAGAAUAAGCACCGGCUAACUCUGUGCCAGCAGCCGCGGUAAU
rnacentral:rRNA from 1 species